AUGGGGAAGGAGAAGAUGACGGCUCUGGAGCGGGCGAAGAAGGUGACGGCAAAGGCGAAGGGGAAGGCGACCAGUCAGGGUGGAUCUUCCUCGCGAGCCGGCCUGCCGAAGGGCUGGAUCCAGGGCGACUGGAUCCGCUCGGUGAUCUGCCAAGAAGACCUCGACGACCUAGCCGAAGGAGGGCUGAUCCCCCAUGGAUCGGCGCGGCUUCUGGGGAAGGAGUCCGAGCCGCAACCUCGGGAGGGUGAGCGCGUUCUCCUUGCCACCCACGUCGACCGUGGAUUUUCCUUGCCUCCUCACCCUUUCUUUCGGGGAUUUCUGAAUUUCUUUGGGGCACAACUCCACCACUUCACUCCCAACACGAUCGUGUAUCUUGCUGCUUUAGUGUCUUUGUGCGAGAAUUUUUUGGGUUGUCGGCCUCACUGGUGUCUUUUCAAGCACAUUUUCACCUGUCGUUCUCAGACGGUGAAAAAGGCCAAUCCGAGUGACGAGAGAACACAAGUGAUUCAGAUGUGUGGGGGUCUUGGUGUUCAGAUGAGAGGGAAAAGUUCCUUUCCAGCCAUGAUUCUUCCCGACUCGGUUCGCGGAUGGGAGUCGACCUGGUUUUACUGCAAAGACCACUCGACGCCAGGCCAGUCGACUGGCCUCCCUCCUUUUACCAUGGACGAGUGA
rnacentral:rRNA from 1 species